rnacentral:lncRNA from 1 species
UAAAUGUUACAGCCCUUGUGUUCAUGUCUUACCCACUCCCCACUAUACAAAGUACUUCUUUUCUUUUGGUUCUUUUUUUUUUUUUUUUUUCCGGAGCUGGGGACCAAACCCAGGGCCUUGCGCUUCCUAGGCAAGCGCUCUACCACUGAGCUAAAUCCCCAACCCCACAAAGUACUUUUCAGUAUUUCCUAUUUUUCACAUUAAAGAACAGAAACUCUGUAAACUUGCUGUUUUCUAAUGAACAGAUGGCCUCCUUAGCAGUGUCCAACUGGCCCAAGCCCAUGCCGUUGAUUCCAUGCCUGUCUUGGUCCACAGCGUCUGGGGUCUUCACCACG